UUACCCUCUUCAGACAGUCGCCAUCGCCCACAUACUCAGCUGCCCUCUGACGGAGGACCUCCUGGGGGCGCUGCUUGAAGGCUUGUCCAGUACUCCGUGAAUUUGCUGUAUUUGCUGUAUGACCUCUCUUUCCGUGUGACCUAUCUGAGAGUUCAUGGGUGAAAGGAGCAUCUUCAUAGUCCUCACUUCCUGAUGAGAGUAAGGAUCUACGGUGCUGCUCUCGUAGCAUAAAAUGCAUAGUGUUCCUACAGCUCCCCUGUCUCUUUUUGACACCAAGGAUGGAAUCCAUCCUUGGAUGAAAGGGUAGUUUCUUAAUUUCAUCGGGCUCUGUUUCAGAGUAAUCUGAAAUGGCUUGUUUACAGUCAAAGUACAUCUCUGGGUCUGAGUCUUCAUGGAAUUGGAGUGCUUGAGCUUUAGGCUUUACAUCAGCGAUAGCAUCAUAGAAGUCAUGUAGAGUACACACAUCCAUAGGCAUGACCUCUGGGCUGAAGAACAUGUCCGGUUCCUCAGUGGUGGGAAGAUCCCUCAGAAAAGAUUCCGCCUCUUCAUUCAACAGUUGCUUUGUGCAUACAGCACUUGGCUCUUCAUGUUUACUUUUGGACGUUUCAACAGUUACUGCCUCUAAAUUGACAGGAGGAACAGCCAAAGAACAUUCCUCUGGAGUUGUAGACAGCUGGUAAGAGGAAAUCUCUUCGACGUCUGCCUGGCUUAGGCUAACUGAAGCUGACAAUGGACGAGUAUUUUGUGAAAAUGAAUGGGGAGAUUCAUGAACAGUCUGGACAAUAUCUUCCUCUAGUGAGUGCAAAGCAGCUGUCAUCGGUACAAGCUGUUGGGACCCGGGGAUGAAUGUAGGAUCGGCAACAGUUUCCUUAUCACGUGCGAAGGUGAUGGUGACCAAAUCAUUGGAAGCCGUUUCCAUGGGCUCAACCUGUUUUUGAGUGAAGGCAGUGGCUUGUUCCUCAAAACCAAAGCAUUUUGAUGAUCUACUUGUGUCUGGUGUCUGUGCAGUCACAUCUGAAGUACAUACAUUUGUGUCAUCAGUAGUAUACGGAGUAGCUUCACAAGGGAUCCAUGAAUGUGUCAUGUCAAGAGUAGUUUGACACACAUAUGUCUUCUCAUCAUGUCCACUGUCAUCAGUAGGGGAUGCAGCUGUAACAGAGCUUAACUGGUAUGAUGAUCCAGCCAGGUCACAAUCCAGUAUACUACUUGCUGCAGCAGUUUCAAUCAUGUCUAAGGGACCUUGGCUAGGGGCAAGAUGGGUCUGGCCAAGAGAAAUAAUUGUUCUACUUUCUCUUACAUCAGAUUCUAUCAGGGUAUGUGGCAACAGCUGAUUCUCAGGUGUUACAAUAACAUAAAAUGUUUGGUCAGACUCCUCUGUGUGGAAAAUUAGUUCUGUGGAUGAGGCUUGGCUUACUUCACUCCCCAUUGCUUCUUCACAUUCUUCGUGUGACUUGGGGAUCUUCAUAUCUGUGACUGAACAUACAGUAGGAUCUGGUGUAUCAGGUCCUUGGGUUUGCCAUGACACAGCUGGAGCCAUAUUGCUCAACUUUCCAGGAUCAGUUCCCUGAUGUUUCACUGAGCCAGAGGCAAUUUUGAUAAGAUCAGGAGUUACUCUAAGUCCUUCCGAACAUGUGUGACUGGACAAAAACUCACUAGAUGUCAGGGGAACAUCUGCUAAACUACCCUCUGCUAUGAUGUCACCUGAAGGGCCACUGUCCACUGACUCCAGACUGAAUGGGUAACCUCUAUCUUUCUGAGGUGAAGAAUCUUUGCUCUCCACGGAUGUAAAGCCCACUCUGUACAAACUUCCUGAGGUUUCCUCAUAUCUAAGAGCUGCUUCCUCGUCAGGUUUGGGGAUCUCACCAGUUUUGUGCUCCUUUUCAUUUGUUUGACAUUCAGAUCCACCAGAUGACACUCCUUGCAUAAUAGAUUUGUGUGGUGCACCUGUAUGUUGACCUGGAGAUUGUGGUGGGCCAUCCUGACUAUCCUUGGAUGUGUGUUUAAGGAGAUCUGGCACUAGUGGGAUAGGCUCAUGAGCACUAAAUGGCACGUCUAUUGACUCUGCAGGUGCCACUCUCUCAUUUGGAUACGGACUGAAAUCACAUGUGUUUUCACUCGGUUCAACUGUCUCCACUUGACUUGCAGGGGAGAAGGAGUUUCUUACAGGUGACAUCAAAGAUGCACUGGCCUUAUACCAAACCUCCAGUUUACUCGGCUCAGAAUCAGGUAACACUGCUUGAUCCAAAGUGCCUGAAACCUAUGAUGUAAUCAUGAAAUGGGAUGAAAAAAACACAAAUGAGAUGUCUUCUUUGAGAAAAUAGCUAACAAAUAGUACAAUCCCACACAUAAACUCAGUGCAUUAAUAAGAUACAGUACAAAUGUGUCAAGCUCAAUUGUGUAGUAGCCCCCAUACAUUCUUUGGGACAAUUUUUCAAACAAAACUCAACUAAAGCAAAACAUUAGGGCAAGUGCAUAAUUGUAAAGGCAAUGUAAAGCACAUAUAGAUUUCAGGGGCACUUAUACAAAGGUAUCUUUAUGCCUGAAAUCUUUUUUUCCUGACUACUUGAUACAAAGCAUACAUAUAUAUGUAUAUAUAUGUAUAUAUACUGUAUAUAUGUAUAUAUAUAUAUAUAUUAUUUGAAAGGCCUAUGUGGGACCCAAGUCAGACAAAAGCAAUGUCACCACAAGGCUGAUUCGACACCAUUCAUGUUACAUGUCACCUUUACUUUGCGUCAUAAGUGAAUGAAUGCAAAGCAGUGCUUGUACUCCCUGGGAACUGAACCUGUGAGCACGGAGCAUGCACCAUGCUCUACCACUUGAAUUACAGUGCAGCUGUGCAGCUGUACAGCUGUGAGAGAUGUGACUGUUAAAAUAUUGCCAUGCCACUGCUCAUUUUCUAUAUUUGACAGCAUGUCAUGUAAUCCGGUGGUUGGUGAAGUAGUUACGCAUCAUGGUGCUGGGGCACUUUAGGACAGGAUCAGAAUGGGGGCAGCAGUAAGAAUCACAAUGCUGAGACUUCCUGAAUCAGCCUUUUUGUUUGGGAGGGUUGGGAGACUCAUCCUGUUGGCCUUAUGCAAACAUGCGAAACAGGGCGAGUCAAACUCUAAGAAGCAGAGACAUUAGUAGGCGUUUAUGCUUUAUGUCUGAAACUAUGCUCAGGGAUUCAGCACUAUUUCCUGUGACACAGCAUCCUUUCAGUGCAAGCGCUCUUACCAACACUGGGAGUCAGCUGCCAGCCUUUGUCAUCUUUCCGCCUGAGUUGUGUCCACCCCCAUUGUUUCUUGGUGGCAAUUUUUCCAGCUUUCUCUUUCUACACUGAUGAACAAAAUCUUAUCUUCUUCUGCGGUGGUUCUUUUUGUUGAUGCUCUUCAGAUUGUUCUUGACAAAGGGGUUGUUGCUCUGCUUUCUUUCAGUUCAAGGAUUACGCCAGCUGGCACAUGACUCAAACAUUUAGAUUAUCUUCAGCUUCACUCUGAUUCAGCUUGAGCUCAAAAAUGAAAAGUGCAAGAUUAACAAGUUAUUUCAACCAAAUCAAAAAAAAUCUUCACUGCAAAAUGGUGGUGCCUAAGCUAUCAAAGCUCCUAGCCCUGGCUCAUAACUGUUACAUAUCUGUAACACUUCAUCUGUCACUGCUCUCUACACCCUUCAUCUGUCACUGCUCUCUACACCCUUCAUCUGUCACUGCUCUUUACACACUUCAUCUGUCACUGCUCUUUACACACGUCAUCUGUCACUGCUCUUUAGACCCUUCAUCUGUCACUGCUCUCUACACCCUUCAUCUGUCACUGCUCUCUACACCCUUCAUCUGUCACUGCUCUUUACACACUUCAUCUGUCACUGCUCUUUACACACGUCAUCUGUCACUGCUCUUUAGACCCUUCAUCUGUCACUGCUCUUUAGACCCUUCAUCUGUCACUGCUCUCUACACCCUUCAUCUGUCACUGUUCUCUACACCCUUCAUCUGCUCCCUUGUCUGCUGGAUCUUACCUAUUCAAAAUCAGAUGAUGGCAAAACCACCUCCCCGUUAAACUGGGUUGUUGGUGAGUACAAUUAACCUACUGGUACCACUUUGUGGUUUUCACACAUUAUAAAUACUUAAAAAAAAACAUGUGCUAAAAAAACAACCCAAUUACACCAGAAACCAGUAGACCUUUUCCAGCAAAGUAACUGCAAUGUCUGCUGAUACACGCUAUUGUGGAGCACAAAAAAGACAGGCAUAUGUAACAAAUUAUGAUCCUCUGACUAAAAGAGGACAUUAAACCAAAUCCGCUCAUCAAGAAGAACCGGCAAACGCUAAUGGCAAAGCUAUGUUCUGCAUGACAAGAGGGUCAACAACACAGCAACAACUGUUUUCUACAUUUGAGCACACAAAAUUGGAUCAGAACUUAAAUAUGACUGAAUUCAGUUCGAUCCCAUUCCUUUCCAAUACAAUGGUGUGAUAAUAUAACAAGAACAUUUCAUAAUGUGGAAAGGAAGGCAACAGAUUUGUAUCUUCAUCAAGCUCACCAGGGAAAUUACUAGGAACAGGGUGAUGCAUUCCAAGGCUACAGGACGAGACAUUUCAAAUUUUAAGACAUAAAUUGUUGUCUCAAUUUCAAUUAGAAUAGUAAUAAAUAUCGGCUUUGCUUGUACUACAUUAUUGUACCUUGGAGGAUAAUUUCCUAAUCAACUGCACUGUGCUUCCUAACACAGUAUGUCAGAGUUAACCAAAUCCAUAAAAUGACCAAAAUAUUCUACUGGGCAAAAUCCUAUGACGUCAUGGAUCAUUUAUCACUAAUAAACUGGGGAUUUGAAAUAAUCACACCUACCACACUUUGUGGUUACAAAUGAAAUCUGAAUGGCAUUUAAUAAUCAGCUAGUUGGGUCUAUGGACAUUUCAUAAAAUUUCAUAUGGUCUAUAGUUAUCAUAGUUAUCAUGACAUAUUAAAUCAAGGUGAUGCACAAACAAAAGAGUGUGGUAGGUGUGAUUUAUAAAUGUUGUCUUUCAUUGAUACCUAUUUGGGUUUAAAGCAUAAAUGUGCCUGCCUGGCCUGUUUGGCAUGUUCAGUACUUUUCAUCAGUUUUUCCUAUCCUCCAUCCUCCAUCCAGCCCUUUCAAAAACACCAGUCUUGCUUAUGAAGGUUUCUCCCUUAUACAGUGGGUCAUACAUAUGUGCCAUAAGUGUGCUUGGGACUGCUUUGUAAACUAGCUGGAACAUAGGAGACAUGAUUGAGGCCUCGUUAUCAGCUAUGAAUUUAGUCUGAGCCAAUGAAUAUUUGCCACUGGAGAAUGAUGUACUUUCUUGAGGCUCAUUAUCAUAAAAGUCAGAUUCGGGAGACUCAGGCCGAUUCUGGAACAUUUCUUCAAGAUCAAAGCUGGAAUCAUCAAUGUCUGAUGUUACAAACUCAGGUGAGGAUGACCUAUCUUCAAAACAUGGUACUCUAUGAUCAGAUAAUGAUGUUCUGAACUGAGGAACUGGCGAGUCAGGUGGCAAACAUGUCAAUUCAUUAAUUGAAGAAACGGAUUCAGGAGAAAGAGGCCUUGUGUCAUCUUUUGGGUAAUCCAGAUACAGAAGUGCUCUAUCGCUCUCAGAAAUGUCUGAUUCAGGAGACAAAUGCCUGUGUAUAGCUGCAUCACUACGGUGGCUAUCACUAUGUUCAUAUUGCACUGAGUCUGGUUCAGGUGACUCUGGUCUUCCAUAAUCUAAGAGAGUCUCUAGGCAUAACUCAGACAGCUCAGUGUCUGAGAUCAAUGAUUCAGUUGAAGGACAUGUACUGUCUGGAAGAAGCAUAAUACAUUCAAGCUGUGGGGGACAGAACUGAGAAUACUCAACGUCUAGGAUUGGUGAUGUGGGAGAGGAUGAUCUACUUCCUGUGUAGAUUGACGUCUCAAAUUCCGCAUGACCAUAUUCAGGAAUAGGUGAAUCAGGAGACAGAAGUUUACCUUCAUCACAUAAACACAAUGGUUCCGGUGAAUCUAUUCUCCCUUCUUGGAACAAUUCCUCAAGAUAAAGGUAAGAGUAUUCAAUAUCUGAUGCUAAAGAUACGGGAGAGGAUGAUCGUUUACCUUUGAAGUUUAACUGUUCAAAUGUAUGGCAGCCAUAUUCAGGAAUAGGGGAAUCAGGAGACAGGGGUGUAUAUUCAUCUAAUGAUGUAAAGGCUUCUGGUGAGGACGUUCUUUCUUCCUCUAACCAUUCAAGGAAAGAUAAUGAAUAGUCAUUUUCAGAUGUGAGGGAGUCUGGUGAUAUUGGUCUAUGCUCACUCAGGCCUCUCACAGUCCCGUUGGUGUUUAUUUCUGAUUCCAGUGACUCUGGUCUGUCUUCACUGAACAACUCUUCAAAACACAUUUCAGAGUAUUCAUUAUCAGAUACUAGAGAUAUGGGAGAUGUUCUACUACUUCCAUAGACAAACUGCUCAAGUAUUGGGCAAACAAACGCAGGAAUAGGUGAAUCAGGAGACAGAAGUCUACCUUCAUCACAUAAACACAAUGGUUCAGGUGAAUCUAUUCUCCCUUCUUGGAACAAUUCCUCAAGAUAAAGGUCAGAGUAUUCAAUAUCUGAUGCUAAAGAUACGGGAGAUGAUGAUCUGCUAGUUGAACAUAUCAGCUGGUCACAUGUAGAAUGAAUAUAUUCAGGAAUAGGGGAUUCAGGAGACAUGGGCCUUCUCUCUGUGAAAAAAUCUAAAUACAGCUCUUCCUCUGUGUUUUCUGAUGUUAGAGAUGCCGGUGAUGUGCUCCUGAGA
ensembl:lncRNA